GUUUUUAUUCAAGCAGCAGUCGAUUUUGCACAUGUCGAGGAUUCUACAGCAAUAAAAGCGGAAAAUAUAUGCCUUGUGAUGGCUUUCUCUGAAGAAAUGCUACAGUUAAUGAAAAUCAAUCGGAUGUGCAGAACUCAGGGUAUCCUUCACACCAGAAUUAAAAUGUCCGGUCUUUGAGUUCUGUAGUCGAGGAAAUUAUCGUUAGAUGCAACCGAUGGCCCAAAAAAAACUUUUGCUGCGUUUCGAAAAUACAGGUCGACAGCAGCAGCCAAGUGUCGGUUGAAAGUACCCGUUUGAUGCUCUCCAGCAAUUCUACGAAAAUGGAGGCCUGUUACGUGAAAUUAUUCAAAACUUUGACCGAAAUAAGGAAGAUAUAGUGACAAUACCAGUAUAAUUUAUGUUUCAUUUAGAAUUUUGUGAUAUU